CGACAGUUUACACACGCAAAUCGCAGCAAAGUGGGAACUUUUCAGAAAACAAAAAUGGCGAAAGCGAUUCGGUUCUUUGAGUUGAACACUGGGGCCAAGAUCCCGUCCCUCGGUUUGGGCACGUGGCAGGCUGAGCCCGGCGUCGUUGCCGCCGCCGCCACCACCCGCCGUCACCACCGCCAUUAAGGUCGGGUACCGGCAUAUUGAUUGUGCUCAAGCGUAUGGCAAUGAAAAGGAGAUUGGGUUUGCUCUGAAGAAGCUUUAUGAUGAUGGUGUGGUGAAGCGUGAGGACCUAUGGAUAACUUCAAAACUCUGGUGCAAUAAUCAUGAACCAGAAGAUGUGCCAAAAGCACUAGAUAGUACCCUGCAAGACUUACAACUCGACUAUCUCGAUCUCUAUCUAAUCCACUGGCCUGUCAAGAUGAAGAAGGGUUCAACUGGCUUUAAGACUGAAAACCUUGCCCAACCUGACAUAGCCAGUACUUGGAAAGCAAUGGAGGCACUUUAUGAUUCUGGCAAGGCCAGGGCCAUAGGGGUUAGCAAUUUUUCUACAAAGAAGCUUGGAGACCUAUUAACAGUGGCACGAGUGCCUCCGGCUGUUAAUCAAGUGGAAUUGCACCCUCAAUGGCAGCAGCCAAAGCUAAAAGAAUUCUGCAAAUCCAAGGGAGUUCACUUAACCGGGUAUUCACCAUUGGGAUCCCCAGGCACUAGCAGCAUUAAGGGUGAUGUGCUUAAGAAUCCGAUUCUUACAUCGGUGGCAGAGAAGCUGGGCAAGACUCCUGCACAAGUGGCUAUCCGGUGGGGGCUCCAGUCAGGUCACAGUGUACUGCCUAAGAGCACAAAGGAUGCAAGGAUCAAGGAGAACUUCGGUGUUUUUGAUUGGUCUAUACCUGAAGAUUUGUUUGCAAAGUUUGCUGAAGCAAAGCAGGAGAGGCUGCUUAAAGGUACCGGAUUCGUCCACGAGACUUCCGAAGGUUACAAGACCAUCGAGGAACUUUGGGACGGCGAAUUGUGAGCAUAACCUGGAUGAGCUGAUCUUAGAAACAUUUGGCUUUUCAUUAGCUUCAUGAAGAAUGGUGGAUACAGAAGUUGUGGCACUUCUGUUGACCUUUGUUUUUUUUUUUUUUACUUUUAAAGAUACAUUCAGCUUUAAUGACAUAUAAAAUCCUGUGCUGCUUCAGCGUAUUGGACUGUCACGAAAUUAUGAAUCUUGAUGGAGAUUUUUCUUUGUU